UUUGUCAAUGAUGAUCCUUGUGCUUGAGUUUUACUACAAUGAAACCAUUUCACAUGCACUACCAUCUGAGACUGC